GAGGUGCUAGUCCAAAAAAGAUAGCUGAUUUCGGCUCAGCUGAUUAUGGUUUAAACCCAUAGUGCCUCUUUAU
rnacentral:tRNA from 1 species